CUGAUCAGUCCCCUUUGCCAUUGCCAUUGCCCCUUCAGUGCCCUCAGGACUCCCUUGGACGGACUUCUCUUUGUUUCUGCGUCUUUCCCCUGGAAACUUUUUCACCCCUUCUAGCGCCACGCCUUUGCAGCUGGGGGUCUCCACCUACGUCAGCUUUCUUCCGCAGAGAAACUUUAGGAAUGACUCAAGCCUUUGGUUCCAGCCUUCGACCGGACAGAGUUGCCCCGACUCCGAUGCCGUUCAGACACGAGCCCCCAAUGAGAAAGCAGCCCCUUGUCCGGCAAAUUCUCAGCCCGUGAUCUGACGGCGCGGGAAAGCCUCUGUUCGGGGUGUGAAUGUGGCCGGUAAGAGCGCCUCGUUUUCGAAUGCUACGAUCAGGCAUUUCUCUUCUCUGAAUGUCACAUUUCCCAAAUGGCACUUGUCUCUACUUUUCUGCAUGUUGUCUUAACGCGGCUAGAAAAAAAAUUGUAUGUGGAUAAGGGAAUGGAAACUCAAAAUUUGCAACCAUGGCAAAUGCCGAGCCAUCAACGAGCUUAAACUUUUUUGAUAAGAUACUAGCGUAGUUAAUCCACCACUUGGCGCCUGC
rnacentral:sRNA from 2 species